UGAGGAAUAUUGGGCAAUGCCCGCAAGGGUGACCCAGCAACGCCGCGUGGAGGAUGAAUGUCGUAAGAUUGUAAACUCCUGUUAGAGGGGAAGAAUAGUACCGGUUGGACCGGUAUAUGACUGUACCCUCAGAGAAAGCCCCGGCUAACUACGUGCCAGCAGCCGCGGUAAUACGUAGGGGGCAAGCGUUGUCCGGAUUUACUGGGUGUAAAGGGCGCGCAGGCGGGAUAAAAAGUCAGUGGUGAAAUCCUACAGCUUAACUGUAGAACUGCCUUUGAUACUUUUAUUCUUGGGUUCGGGAGAGAGAGACGGAAUUCCAGGUGUAGUGGUGAAAUACGUAGAGAUCUGGAAGAACACCAGUUGCGAAGGCGGUCUCUUGGUCCGACACUGACGCUGAGGCGCGAAAGCGUGGGGAGCAAACA
rnacentral:rRNA from 1 species